rnacentral:lncRNA from 1 species
CCUGAGCUAUCCCCCGGCGGUCCGGCCGUCAAGCUUGUGGUGUUUGUCGUGUUUACUGUGCAGGAUCAUGACGUCUUUCGUGAUUGGGACGUGGAGAAAGAUCCUGGCGUUAACAUUGGCGCUAGAAGGAGGGCUGUGUUCUAGUGUCCUGAGUAUUUUUCAAUCACAGAUUGUGUUUUAUUCUAUUCAGUUAUCAUGGGGAAGAGUAGAACACCUACACCCGAAGGACAACCGAUGGCUGUCAGUGAAUCAGCACCGCGAGUGUCUGCCAAAGAUCGUUUGGGACCAACAAUAAGUGUUCAUGCUAGCACAGCGUCCAAAUGAUCACCUAAAGAUUCUCGGCCGAAGGCGGUAGGCAAAACCAAGC